CUAAUGUGCCGUGUUUGCUUAUAUAUUGCCGGCUCUCUUCCAUACAGAUUAAUCCCAGGAUUUUACUAGAAGAGGGAGAUUGUCCCUCAGUCAUGUUUCCCCCUGACUCUUCCUGGAACAUUUCCUUUGCUGGCUGUGGCUUCCUGGGGAUCUAUCACAUUGGAGUGGCCAGCUGCCUGAAGGAACAUGCGCCUUUCCUGGUAGAGAAUGCUAAGAACAUCUAUGGAGCGUCUGCUGGAGCCCUCACUGCUACUGCCCUGGUCAGUGGAGCUUGCCUGGGUGAGUUAUCAAUAGCAAUCUACGUGAGAAUACACGUACUGUUAUAUUACAAAGUGAC
rnacentral:lncRNA from 1 species